rnacentral:misc_RNA from 1 species
UACGAAGGGGGCUAGCGUUGCUCGGAAUCACUGGGCGUAAAGGGUGCGUAGGCGGGUCUUUAAGUCAGGGGUGAAAUCCUGGAGCUCAACUCCAGAACUGCCUUUGAUACUGAAGAUCUUGAGUUCGGGAGAGGUGAGUGGAACUGCGAGGGUAGAGGUGAAAUUCGUAGAUAUUCGCAAGAACACCGGUGGCGAAGGCGGCUCACUGGCCCGGUACUGACGCUGAGGUGCGAAAGCAUGGGGAGCAAACAGG